ACUUCGCGCUCUCAGCGUGAUAAACGAGGAGAAGAGAAUACUUUCGAGCUAAGCCGACGAGGUUGAGCGGUGGCGAGCGGGCGGUGGUGUUGAGUAGGAAACAAUAUCAUGAUCUGUUGGAACUAUAAGUGUCGUUGUGUCUCCAUACAUAGUCUCACUUCUUUCUUGGUCGCUUCCGCUAUAUUAUGAAAACUUGUGAUGAUCUUUUGGUUGGGUUGAAUUCUUUUACUUUUCGUGGGAAUAUGUUAGAUACAAAACAGAUGAGAUUACUUUGGAACUUUUGCUAUUUUUGAGCAUAUUUGGUGAUAACCUUUUGUUGGAUUUCAUUGCUAAGGCAUUAUUUCUCUCCUACUUAUUUGUUCA